UCGAUUGAGUUUGAUCAUGGCUCAGAACGAACGCUGGCGGCGUGCCUAAUACAUGCAAGUCGAACGAGAAAGUGUAGCAAUACAUUAGUAAAGUGGCAGACGGGUGAGUAAUACAUAGAUAAUCUUCCCUCAAGAUGGGGAUAACCUUCCGAAAGGAGGGCUAAUACCGAAUGAGACCACACUGACUUCGGUCAGAGCGGUCAAAGGUGACCUCUAUUUAUAAGUUAUCGCUUGGGGAUGAGUUUAUGCACCAUCAGCUAGUUGGUAAGGUAAUGGCUUACCAAGGCUUUGACGGUUAACUGAUCUGAGAGGUUGAUCAGUCACACUGGAACUGAGACACGGUCCAGACUCCUACGGGAGGCAGCAGUAGGGAAUAUUGCGCAAUGGAGGAAACUCUGACGCAGCGACGCCGCGUGGGUGAUGAAGGUCUUCGGAUCGUAAAGCCCUGUCGGAGGGGACGAAAAGCGGAAUGGCUAAUAUCCAUACCGCUUGACGGUACCCUUAAAGGAAGCACCGGCUAACUUCGUGCCAGCAGCCGCUGUAAUACGAAGGGUGCAAGCGUUGUUCGGAAUCAUUGGGCGUAAAGCGAGUGUAGGCGGUUAAUUAAGUCAGUUGUGAAAUCCCAUGGCUCAACCAAGGAAGUGCAUCUGAAACUAAUUAACUAGAAGAUGGUAGAGGAAGGUGGAAUUCCAAGUGUAGAGGUGAAAUUCGUAGAUAUUUGGAGGAAUACCUGA
rnacentral:rRNA from 1 species